AGGGGAAGGAUAUGAAAGAGACGGAGAGGGGAACGGUGAGAGGGGAGGCGAGAUGGACUUCAUCACUACUUGUUUUUUUGUGUCAAGUUGGCGUAAUGUUGCGGGACCACAGGAAGAGUAGCUGCUGUCUUGGCAAGAACUACAGGGGAUCCAAAGUGGCAGUAAAGCCUAGAAAACUCAUCUGUAAUGUUGGGAGAUCACAUGACGGUCUACAAAUGACAAAUACCAUCUCGCUUGGUACCUGUGAGAGGACAGCAGAUCAUUACACUUCGGAAAGAGAAGCCCCAUCCACCUAAGUGAACAGAAGGUAAAGUAUCCCUGCCAAACAGAGAAAUGGUCCAAGAGCCACCCACCAGACGUCCACCAGACGCCCACCGGACGCCCACCGAACGCCCACCGGACGUCCACCGGACGCCCACCGGACGUCCACCGGACGCCCACCGGACGCCCACCGGACGCCCACCGGACGCCCACCGGACGCCCACCGGACGUCCACCAGACGUCCACCAGACGUCCACACUUCAGUGUAUAGUGCUGUGUUGUGUGUGUACUUGCGUGAGUGAGUGUGUUUGUGUGACAGCAUAUACCAGACGGUGUGUGUGUUCCCUCCCAAUUACAUCCAUAUACAUGACCAUAAUGGGGACGGAAGUGUCAACAAGGGAUCGCCAACAGACAGCUGAACUAUCAUGUUUUAUCAGGACUUUCUCUCUCUCUCUCUGUCUGUGACCCUCUAUCUCUCUGUCUGUGACUCUCUCUCUCUCUCUCUCUGUGACUUUCUCUCUCUCUCUCUGUCUGUGACCCUCUAUCUCUCUGUCUGACUCUCUCUCUCUCUCUCUCUGUGACUCUCUCUCUCUCUCUCUCUCUGACUCUCUCUCUCUCUGUGUGACUCUCUCUCUCUGUCUGUGACUCUCUCUCUCUCUCUGUCUGUGACUCUCUCUCUCUCUCCGUGACUCUCUCGCUCUCUCUCUGUGACUCUCUAUCUCUCUCUCUCUCUCUCUGUGACUCUCUCGCUCGCUCUCUCUCUGUGACUCUCUAUCUCGCUCUGUUUGUGACUCUCUCUCUGUCUGUGUGUGACUCUCUCUCUCUGUCUGUGACGCUAUAUCUCUCUCGGUCUGUGACUCUCAAUCUAUCUCUCUCUGUCUGUGACUCUAUCUCUGUGUGUGUGUGUGUGUGACUCUCUACCUCACUCUGUCUCUCUCUCUCUCUCUCUCUCUCUCUCUCUCUCUCUCUCUCUCUCUCUCUCUCUCUCGCUUUCUCUCCCUUUCUGUGACUCUCUAUCAAUUCAAUUGAAUUCAAGGGCUUUAUUGGCAUGGGAAACAUGUGUUAACAUUGCCAAAACAAGUGAGGUAGAUAAUAUAUAAAGUGAAUAUAUAAAGUGAAAUAAACAAUAAAAAUUAGCAGUAAACAUUACACAUACAGAAGUUUCAAAACAAUAAAGACAUUACAAAUGUCAUAUUAUAUAUAUACAGUGUUUUAACAAUGUACAAAUGGUAAAGGACACAAAAUAAAUAAUCAUAAAUAUGG